AGAGCCCUUCAGAUUACUCACCUACCUGUAACUAAUUCUCUAAUGUGUGGUUAAGGAGGAGUCCAGGAGACAUUGUUGUCUGCAGGAGUUGACAUUGAAGGCUCAUGAUGCCAGCCAGCUUUCUUCCUCUUCAUCCUCUUGCUUCCUCUUCUCUUCUUUGAAGGAUUUGAAUGAAACAUUUUGGUCCGUACAGAAUGUGUAGAAACUUUAUCCACCAGAGCACCACAGAGGAUAUAUCAAAACAGACACAGACAGGUCGGCCCCCCUGGACCACCACCCAGAGGCCGGCUGGAACAAAGACUGCGAGAUGGAAUUGGUCAAGCCCAGAGGACCAGGCAACACCAGCCCCUCUGAUAGGACAGAAACGGCUCCCAGCCCCUCCCCUUCCACUGAGACAGAGACAGACAUCAAUACAGAGCAGGAUCAGGAGUUCCUACCAUCUCCAUCUCUCUCCACCACUGGCACAGACUCCAAGCUCUCUAGCCACUCUAGGACCAUAACAAACCAUCUUAGCGAGGGCCAUGAGACUGUAGACUCCACCACAAGUUGUGAGACCUCUGUCGCACAACACUCCAUAGACACAGUUCUGGCAGUGUAGGGUCAGUGUUCUGACAGUGUAGGGUCUCAGACAUUUAGGACCAGUUUCUCGGAGUAAGCCCUGGACUAAACUUCCAAUGGAUAUAAAUCAUGCUCAAUGAUACUGGCCUAGGAUACUGAUGAAAUGUUAUGUAUGCCCCAUGUGGAAAAAAAGGUUCACCGGUCUUUGCUAUAUGUGAUGAUAUUCAGUGAUAAAGACAAGAGAUUUUUCCAUGCUACAGAGAGUACAUUGUCUCAGUUUGUGCAUGUAUGACUGUUAUGAGAACAAUAACGCAGUCAGACUUUUACUUGUUGUAAGUUGAACAAGUUGUCAUGUGCCGCAUGCUUUUUCAUUUUCAACUUGAUUAUGAUUUCCCAUUUAUUGUGAAAAACAAACAUUUACAAAAAUGUGGCAUCCUGAAUUGGCAAUGUUCAUCCCAGACUGAAGUGCAAUAAAGUUUUUUAAAAAUGUU